CCUGCCCCUAGAGGCACUGGAGGUGUCAUUGCCUUGUCACAUGUGUGUCAGUAGGUGGAGAGAGGAGAGAGGCUAUAUCUACACUCAGUGUUCUGUCCUGUGAACAUCAGAAUGAUAAGUACACUAACACU